AUAGAAGGGUGGUGUGGGCAUUAUAAAGGCGGGAAAAUAGAGAACCGUCUUCUUCUUCCUCUCCCCCCUCUCUCUCUCCAGAAGGCUUGAGCACGCUGAGAUAUUGAGAAAAUGGAGAGAAUACACGUAUCUGUCAGAGCGAGGCCACUCUCUUCGGAGGACGCAAAGACAAGUCCAUGGCGCAUUUCUGGAAAUUCCAUUUUCAUCCCUAAUCAGCCAUCCAAAUUCGAUUUUGAUCUGAUUUUUGAGGAGGAAUGUAGAACAGCGGAUGUAUACAAAUCUCGAAGCUGCUGCAGUUCGUGGCUUUAAUGGGACUAUUUUUGCAUAUGGACAAACAAGUAGCGGCAAAACGCACACAAUGCGAGGUUCAGCAUCAGAGCCCGGAGUUAUUCCACUUGCUGUGUAUGAUCUCUUUAACAUUAUACACGAGGAAAUGGAUCGAGAGUUUCUUUUUCGCAUGUCUUAUAUGGAGAUCUACAAUGAGGAGAUAAAGGAUUUGUUGGCUCCUGAGCGUCGGAAAUUGCAAAUUCAUGAAAGUAUUGAUGUAUUAGUUUGCUUUUUCCACCUAUGUGACUACUUUCAUUGUGCAGAUAAGUAUUAAUCGUCAGUGCCUCAUAUUCUUUUUGUUUUUCUAAAGCAUGAAGCGAGGAAUUUUUGUUGCCGGUUUGAGAGAAGAAAUUGUGGCUUCUCCUGAUCAAGUUCUUGAACUCAUGGAAUUUGGGGAAUGCAAGUUCUCCUUUUAUUUAUCUAAAUGUACUGACAGUUGUUACUUUUUAAAGUUCCUAUUUUCAAAGGAAUGCUCAGAAUCUAAUUGUAUUUAUUAUUAUCCGUAAUGAACCAAGUUCUUUUUGAUUCUCUUUCAUCUGUAAAUUUGAAAAGGGGAAACUCAAAUGAAACCCACCCAGAUCCUCAUCUUAGUCUUACAUAGUCAAAUAUUCAAGUGGUGGAUAACAAUUUUAACUCUUUUGCUCUUUGUUAUUGAUUUUACAGCUCAUCGUCAUAUUGGGGAGACAUAUGAAUGUAUAGAGCAGUAGGUCGCACACGAUAUUCCACAUGGUUAUUGAGAGCAGGGAGAAAGCUGAUGAUGCAGAAGCAGACUUGUCAUGUGAUGCAGUUCAUAGUCCUCUCUUUGUUUCUUCAUCUAUAACUUGGUGGAUCUUGCUGGUUCAGAGCGUGCUGCAAAGACUAAUGAAUGAGGGCUCCUAUAUCAACAAAAGCCUAAUGACACUAGGAACUGUUAUAAAGAAACUAAGUGAAGGCGCUGAAGGCCAAGGGGGUCAUUCCUGUAUUGAGACAGCAAACUCAUGCGUACUUUGCAACCUGCAUUGGGCGGGAAUGCAAAUACUGCUAUCAUAUGCAAUAUUACACUGGCAAAGUGAAAGGAUGAAUAUCUACAGCUGAUCAGGGCUUUUUGCUCUGCAGAUACAUGCUGAUGGGACUAAAAGCCGUCUUCAAUUUGCAAGCAGAGCAUUGCGAGUGAUUGUGCUCAUGUAAAUGAGAAAUUGAUUAACUGAUGCUGCUUUGCUAAAGCGUCAGAAAAAGGAGAUUGAGGAACUGCAUGCUAAAUUACAGGUUGUUAUAGGUUUUCAAGUGAACUCAUGCCCAUGAGACUAGGAGCAGCUCUAUUAGAGUACCAAGAUAACUUGACCGUUUGCCCUUGUUUGUAUUUUGAGGGUUUACACUCCGAACAUCUAGAAGAGGAAAUCCUGAAUCUGUGGAAUACAUUGCUAAAGAGUGAGUUUGAAAGAGAGAAAAUGGCCUUAGAGCUGGAAGAGGAAAAGAAAGCUCAGGCUGAAAGGGAGAAGAGGUUGCAAGAACAGGCCAAGAAAAUAGAGAACUUGAGUUAAAUGGUAUUCUGCAGUAAUCGGGAUGAGAUCCAUGAAGUCAACAAGAAUGUAUGAUAUUUUAUGCAUUCUUCAUGACGUGUGCAUUUCUGAACACAAGUUGAAGUACUUUAAGUUGGAAAAAGGCGUGAUACGUGGUGCCCCGGAAGUCUUGCUAAUGAGACUUUAAAGGAGUCAAAGGAAUGCCUUCCAUCGUGAAGUCAACGAGAGCAUAUUGCAGAGCUGGGCCUCUUCUUCCUUUUGAAGAGUUAGUUAAUGAAGUA